UACGGAGGGUGCAAGCGUUAAUCGGAAUUACUGGGCGUAAAGCGCACGCAGGUGGCUGAGUCAGUCGAUUGUGAAAGCCCUGGGCUUAACCUGGGAAUUGCAGUCGAUACUACUCAGCUAGAGUAUGGGAGAGGGAUGCGGAAUUCCAGGUGUAGCGGUGAAAUGCGUAGAUAUCUGGAGGAACACCGGUGGCGAAGGCGGCAUCCUGGACCGAGAUUGACGCUGAUGCGCGAAAGCCAGGGGAGCAAACGGG
rnacentral:rRNA from 1 species